rnacentral:sRNA from 1 species
AAUAAAGGAGCUUCUACUAAGAGCGCCACGCCUGCGGCAACGUGAAGUCAGCACAUCCUGUGCA